UACGUAGGGUGCAAGCGUUGUCCGGAUUUAUUGGGCGUAAAGAGCUCGUAGGCGGUUUGUCGCGUCGGAUGUGAAAACCCAGGGCUCAACCCUGGGCCUGCAUUCGAUACGGGCAGACUAGAGUAUGGCAGGGGAGACUGGAAUUCCUGGUGUAGCGGUGAAAUGCGCAGAUAUCAGGAGGAACACCGAUGGCGAAGGCAGGUCUCUGGGCUGACACUGACGCUCAUGCACGAAAGCGUGGGGAGCAAACAGG
rnacentral:rRNA from 1 species